GCCAUGCUCUAGCAGCCCCUGGCUUCUGGCCUGAGCCACUGCAGGCACAUGGCUGCAUUUCCUGCACAUGAAUCAAAGUACAAAGUAACCACUUCACACAAUCUGGGAAUUUAUGUGCAAGAAGGGAAGACGUAAAAGAGGAGUGAUAGGGAUGUUUCAUGGAUCACUCCUUCCACCAGCCAGUCCUGUGGGGUGUUGCACUGCAGUUGAUACAAGAACUCACAUGGUGGGGAGCUGCUAGCUGGCAUGGAUCCAGAAUAACCACCUCUGUGUCUCCCUAUGAAGGGAAUUUUUUUGAGGAAAGGAAGGGGCAAAGCUGAAGCACAAGACCGAAGUCAGAGAAACUGAUUCAGCAUAACAGUGUCACUGAUUACUAGAGGUCUAAACCAUCAGCUAAGCAGUAGCCCUAGAAAAGCAGGGGGAAUUGUGUAAGGAACUAUGCAUCUCUGGGAUGCUGGAGGUGCAAUGUCUCCUGGCGCCUGGCUGGAACACCUGUAGCCUGCAUGCUUUGAACUUCAGUACUUAAUUUUGGCCAAAGAAAGAAAGGAAAUAGAAGAGGAAACAUGGCUUUUAGUUGAGUCUCUCCAAACAUGGAGAAGGCAGGACAGGGCAACUUAGCUAGAAGAGCCCACAAACAUCCAGAAAUAGGAUGCAGCAGUUGCUGGAUAUGUCCGGUGGCUGCUUCUUCAAGGCAGUCUUCACUGUGGGCAAACUACCUGUUAAGUUGUACCUGGUGACCACUGGAAGCUGAGCCAAUAAAAGCACUGUGUAGACAUGGUUAUACAUCUAGGAACGUAGGGACCCCACUAGAAUCAGCAGCUGAUUGAUGCAGGUAUAAGAGAGAUGCUUGUUGUGAAUCUGGAUAGACCCAAUACCUGUAUAAUUUCGGAUACAUAUAUUUAUAUUGCACCAGCAGCUGAAGAGACCUGUUAAUUCUUAGUCUAAGAGCUGGAAUGUGGUGUUGGUUGUGGGAAUGUAGACUGUUUGCUCAAAAGUUUUGAAGUAUUUGGAAUGGACUGGGACAGUACCAUUAUUCGCAAGAUCUGAAGAGCCCAGGUGACAAAUGCUGCCUGUCAGGAUUGUAUUACAAAGGCUGAGACACCAUCUUUCCAGAAGGGAAUGCGUUUAAGUCAAGGUAAAGUAUGGAGGUGUAAGUAUUAUGUUGAAACAUUGUAUCACUACCAUAGCAAGAAAACAAGGAUGCCUGCUUGAGAAACACUAGUAAACUCCCUAUCUAAUGGAUUUUGCCUAAAAGUUAUCCAUGGUGUUUGAUAUGUGUAUGCUAUUUUCUGCUUGUAUCCAGUGUUUGUUUUAAUAUGUAACAUCUAAGGUACGGGCAGUUCACUACAGUGCUUAGAGUCAGGGCUAGGAAUUAGAAGAGAAGUACAACCAAGGUCAUGAGCCAAACUCAGGAAGUCAGCAGACAAGCACAAAUUAGGGGCCAGAGUCAGAGGGCCAAAAGCAAGGAAACUGGAAGGCAAGCCAGGGUUAAGAAGCAGAGUGAGGAAACCAGAAGACAGACCAGUAUCAAGAAACUAAGUAGGAUCUCAAUAGGGCUUAUGAACAGGAUCAUGAAGUUUUCCUGGGUAGGUCUACACUGGUUUGACAUUCUUCUCAAGGCUGCCAAUAAACAAUAAGGCUUACCCCUUGUAGCAGGGAGCUGAGUUCUGGCCCCGCUAUACUCGCCUCCAUGGAUGAACCAGACCCAGAAGUCCGGCAGCAAGGAGUCACUGUUGCAGACGUGGGCCCUUUCAAUUCGGCAUUUCCCAGUCCAGCAGUGGAGGGGAAGUGGAAUCCCAGAAGGCCCCGGGGGUUUCAGGCCACCUUGAGGAAGAAAAACCUAUAAAGUACUGGAGAAGGGUAUUUCUCCCCUUCUCCCUCCAAGUUGGGGGAACAAACCAGGAGACUUACCUGAUGCCACAACCUAAGUCCUAUUGGGUCAGAGACUGAAAUCAGUAGAGCUGUCACAGCAAGGUUAGAAGGUAUUACUAAGGACCAAGGACAGGGAGCAAAGGACUCCAGCUUAAACAAGCAGAGGGUGCCAGCUCUACAGGCAGGCUGACUGAUUUAGGAGUGCGCUGUUUGGUGUGAAGGCUGCUCAUAAUUGGCAGGGAGUCCGAAUACCCAGUAGGAAUAGAUGAUCAUCCUGGGGAGAAGUGCAUGAAGUUAAAGUGAGGAAGCCAAAGUAAUUACAUGUUUAAGUUAAUUAAUGGGUGAGUUGAGAGAUAAGAGAGCCUGGCAUAAACUGACACCGUACAGGAAUGAUGACUUAGCAUAUUCAUUUGUGUUGGCCUUAUGUUUAUGAGAUGGAUGAAUCAAACCUGGAUAGAAACAGCUGCAGGUCAGAAACUGAAGAGAGGACAUGCAGAGGUGAGUGGAUCUAACCCCUCACCAUUUAUCUGUGAUUACUGAAAGUGUCAUCUGGGUGAGUGACGGACAAGGGUAAAAGGGAGGAGGAGCCUUGGAAAAGAUACACCCCAAGGUAGGUGAGAAGUCAGCAGACAGUAGAUCAUAAACCCUGGGAAGAGAACAGCUGAGAGGAAUUUUCCCCAGGGUGCGCUUUCUCUUAGUAUUCAAUAAUCCCAUCAAGAUGUGGCAGGAAAGAAAUCCAACAACAAAGGAGUGUUGAACCUAGGUGGGAAAUUACCCACAGGCCAGAUAGCACCCUGUGACCCCUCUACUGAUGCCUCGUUCUGUGCACAAGAUGGGCAAUACUCACUCAAUGAGCAGCUACUC